UUCGUUUUGAGUGUCAAGUAUUGAGAAAGAUAAUCGUUGACUAAAAUUUAAGAAAUUCGGGGAAUAUUCUUUAUUAUUCGUACGAGUUUCUACUAAUACACGUGUUAUUCCAAGAGGCGAAAGAUGAUGUCAAACGUGAAAGAACAACGAUUUAACUUUCACGAAGUGACUAUUUUCAAUGAGAAUGAAGAAUGUGUCGUCGUAUCACGAACAUCUUUGAUACAAAAUGGAGGAUUGCUGAAAAACUUCUUAAUUGUGUGUCCGAAUGAAAUGAAGUUUAUUCUGAAAUUACCUCUAACAUUAGAAAUGCUGAAUGAAUUUGCAGGGUUUUUGGAGACAGAAGAUGUUAUUUUUACUUCUGCGGAUAACGGAAUCGAAAUGUACCUCAUCGGCAAACGUUACUUUAUUAGAAAACUGCAAAGAAUGUGUUUCCAUUAUCUUACACAGCCGAAUAUCUGCAAAAACAUUUGUCGCAUCCACGAUUUUGCUUGCAGACACAACGAAAAACAAUUGCAGUUUCAUUGUUGGGAAAGUUUUCAUUGGCUCGAAAAGAACUAUUUCCACACAGACGAUUUCAAACAAUGUGAAGAAAGCAGCAUUUACAGGUUAUUGAUUUCCGACUUUUUCACAGUAGAGGAAUCUGAUUUGGUGUAUGCGCUUUUCGAGUGGGUCGAGCAGAAAUUUUGUAAACUGAGAAAAACGAACGACGACAUUUCGACGGGAGAAAUAAUAAGACCGUUUCUGCCGUUGGUUAGAUUCUUCAUGUUGGAACCACAGUUAAUAGAACAACUUUUGAACUUGAUUAGCAAUGUUUGCAUUUCGACAAAAGAAGCUAAAUCCAUAAUAAGAUAUCAAAUUGAAAAAAAAUGUCGCGACUCUUCCACCAAUAAUAUCUGCUUGAAAUCGCUGUACUGAAAAUCAGUUAGCGAAUUGUGAAAAUCGUACUUCAACAAUAGCGCAGAUUUAAACUGUGACCAUCUACGUAGUAUAAAUAGCGAAUAUUUACAGAACGAUGCCGUACCCGUAGUUCUGAUUUUUACCACGAGAUGUCGCUACUUUGUGAGGUCAUGAAUCUCGACAAGCGUAGUUGAAUUUACUGUAUGUUGUGACUCCACUGAACCACGUGUUAGAAGUUGAAAGUUAAAAUUUGGUACACAAUUAGGAAAGUCGAACAGAUUUUUUGACACAUCCCAUCUAAAAAUACUCUAAUUAUUCUCGAAAACAAAAAGACUCGUCAUUCUUGCAUUCGGUGAAAACGGGU